rnacentral:rRNA from 1 species
GACGAACGCUGGCGGCGUGCCUAAUACAUGCAAGUAGAACGCAGUUGCGAACGGGGGCGUAACGCGUAGGAAACUUGCUUAAACUGGCGGAUAACUAUUGGAAACGAUUGCAAAUACGUCCUAUUGCGGGAUGCACCGACGUUGGAUUCGCCAGUUGGUGGGGUAAAGGCUCACCAAGGCGACGAUACAUAGCCGACCUGAGAGGGUGAUCGGCCACACGGGGACUGAGACACGGCCCAGACUCCUACGGGAGGCAGCAGUAGGGAAUCUUCGGCAAUGGACGGAAGUCUGACCGAGCAACGCCGCGUGAGUGAAGAAGGUUUUCGGAUCGUAAAGCUCUGUUGUUAGAGAAGCGGUAACUAACCAGAAAGGGACGGCUAACUACGUGCCAGCAGCCGCGGUAAUAC